rnacentral:lncRNA from 1 species
CACGAUGCGGAUAGACGUUUGAUAAGACUGGGACACGCGUACAGUGAAGAGGCAGAAGAGGCAGUAAAGCUUGUCAGCAUCUUUGCGCCAAGACUGCAUUCCUGCCGCAUUGUUUCUCAGAAUUUUCAACAACUCUGGUAGAAGUUCGAAGAGCCCCGCAACGCAGGAACGGCGGCUCCAGCCAUCCAGUGGCUGUCCGACCAAGAGUCAGAAGAAACAAGAAAACCGAGACGGCGGCGGCCUCGAGCGUCGCCUUAUGUAUAGUACACGCAACGACGUGUGUAAAUAUCGAUGCGUCAGCGUUAAUCUUGGAAUAACUUCGAAUGAACGAAGCGCGGCUGAUGCUUGCACGGAAGCUACAGCCGGACCGAAGGAGUGCGGAUCGAGUAAACACGCGGUGAAGAGACGGUGACGGGUGAUCGGAUCGUGAUGCCGAUUUUCACUUUUCGAUACACAGGCAUAUGUGUGGUCUUCGACGAGACGAAGCAUGACGCCACCGAUGUGAAGUUCCCCCUUAACCCGGAGGCUUCUCUCGACCUGGAGAUCGGUCACGAAGACGCGCAGCACCCAGCUGCCGUCGACCUCGUGUCCGUCGGAGUACAUCCU